rnacentral:rRNA from 1 species
UACGAAGGGGGCGAGCGUUUGUUCGGAAUUACUGGGCGUAAAGGGCGCGCAGGCGGCCCUUGAAGUCAGGCGUGAAAGCCCCGGGCUCAACCUGGGAGGUGCGCUUGAUACUCGAGGGCUUGAGUGCGGGAGAGGAGAGUGGAAUUCCCAGUGUAGAGGUGAAAUUCGUAGAUAUUGGGAAGAACACCGGUGGCGAAGGCGGCUCUCUGGACCGUAACUGACGCUGAGGAGCGAAAGCAUGGGGAGCCGAACAGG